UGAAACUAGAUACAAGCGAGCGGCGGACGGGUGAGUAACACGUGGGUAACCUGCCCAAGAGACUGGGAUAACACCUGGAAACAGAUGCUAAUACCGGAUAACAACACUAGACGCAUGUCUAGAGUUUGAAAGAUGGUUCUGCUAUCACUCUUGGAUGGACCUGCGGUGCAUUAGCUAGUUGGUAAGGUAACGGCUUACCAAGGCAAUGAUGCAUAGCCGAGUUGAGAGACUGAUCGGCCACAUUGGGACUGAGACACGGCCCAAACUCCUACGGGAGGCAGCAGUAGGGAAUCUUCCACAAUGGACGAAAGUCUGAUGGAGCAACGCCGCGUGAGUGAAGAAGGGUUUCGGCCCGUAAAGCUCUGUUGGUAGUGAAGAAAGAUAGAGGUAGUAACUGGCCUUUAUUUGACGGUAAUUACUUAGAAAGUCACGGCUAACUACGUGCCAGCAGCCGCGGUAAUACGUAGGUGGCAAGCGUUGUCCGGAUUUAUUGGGCGUAAAGCGAGUGCAGGCGGUUCAAUAAGUCUGAUGUGAAAGCCUUCGGCUCAACCGGAGAAUUGCAUCAGAAACUGUUGAACUUGAGUGCAGAAGAGGAGAGUGGAACUCCAUGUGUAGCGGUGGAAUGCGUAGAUAUAUGGAAGAACACCAGUGGCGAAGGCGGCUCUCUGGUCUGCAACUGACGCUGAGGCUCGAAAGCAUGGGUAGCGAACAGGAUUAGAUACCCUGGUAGUCCAUGCCGUAAACGAUGAGUGCUAAGUGUUGGGAGGUUUCCGCCUCUCAGUGCUGCAGCUAACGCAUUAAGCACUCCGCCUGGGGA
rnacentral:rRNA from 1 species